rnacentral:rRNA from 1 species
AUGACCACCUUUAUAAUGAACAAACAAAACACAACUCGAGGCCAACCGAAUCAAGAAACUCCUGCGAGCUUGCCACUUAAUUAUUACUUGGCAGCCGCGGCAGCAGCAGCCCACAUAGCCCGCAGCUUCCCGGCGUGCUCCACCAUACUCUUCAUGGGCGGGGCCGCCUCCUUCGCCGCCUCCGUCUGCUCGAACUUCUCAGCCCAGGCGGCCAUGCGCGGAGUCCUGCUGGCGUCGAUGACCGUCACGCCGAACAUCUCGCGCAGCGCCUUGAACCAGGACAGGUUGCACCCGAGCGCAAGGUCGAGGUACCCGACGGAGUCGCCGGCGAAGAAGUCCUUCCCACCGGAGCACUGGGCGAGGGCGUCCUCCAUGAGCCCGACCACCGCGAGAGUGGCGUCGAGCCUCUCGGCUCUGUCCUCCUCCGUGGACGCGCGCAGGAUGCCUAUCCACGCGGGGAACAACUUGUCGUCGACGUAGGCGGCCCAGAAGCGGGCGACGGCGCGGCCGUAAGAGUCGGCAGGGAGGAGCGAGGCGCCGUCGGCCCAGACAUCGUCGACGUACUCCACGAUGGCGAGCGACUCGCAGACGGGCCUGCCGGCGUGGAUGAGCACGGGAACCUUCUUGAGCACCGGGUUGGCGGCGAGGAGGAGCUCACCCUUGUGGAACAGGUCCUGCUCCAGGUACUCGUAGCUCACGCCCUUGAGGUGCAGCGCCAUUCGCACGCGGACCGCGAACGGGCUCACCACCGAGCCCAGCAGCUUGACGUCGUCUCCUUCGCCGGCCAU